AUUGAACGCUGGCGGCAGGCCUAACACAUGCAAGUCGAGCGAGCGGCGGACGGGUGAGUAAUGUAUGGGGACUGCCCGAUAGAGGGGGAUAACUACUGGAAACGGUGGCUAAUACCGCAUAAUGUCGGAUAACCCAUAUGGGAUUAGCUAGUAGGGAAGGUAAUGGCUUACCAAGGCGACGAUCCCUAGCUGGUCUGAGAGGAUGAUCAGCCACACGGGGACUGAGACACGGCCCAGACUCCUACGGAGGCAGCAGUGGGGAAUAUUGCGCAAUGGGCGAAAGCCUGAUGCAGUCAUGCCGCGUGUGUGAAGAAGGCCUUCGGGUUGUAAAGUACUGUCAGUCGGGAGGCGUUACCGACAGAAGAAGCACCGGCUAACUCCGUGCCAGCAGCCGCGGUAAUUC
rnacentral:rRNA from 1 species